rnacentral:rRNA from 1 species
UACAGAGGGUGCGAGCGUUGUCCGGAAUCACUGGGCGUAAAGGGCGCGUAGGCGGCUCGGUAAGCGUGCGGUGAAAGCCCGGGGCUCAACCCCGGGUCGGCCGUGCGAACUGCGGAGCUGGAGCACUGUAGAGGCAGGUGGAAUUCCGGGUGUAGCGGUGGAAUGCGUAGAGAUCGGGAAGAACACCAGUGGCGAAGGCGACGUGCUGGGUUGCACCUGACGCUGAGAUGCGAAAGUGUGGGGAGCAAACGGG